rnacentral:piRNA from 1 species
UAGAGAAACAAUCGUAAUUUC